rnacentral:rRNA from 1 species
AAAAGAAACCAACCGGGAUUGCCUUAGUAACGGCGAGUGAAGCGGCAAAAGCUCAAAUUUGAAAUCUGGUACCUUCGGUGCCCGAGUUGUAAUUUGGAGAGGGCAACUUUGGGGCCGUUCCUUGUCUAUGUUCCUUGGAACAGGACGUCAUAGAGGGUGAGAAUCCCGUGUGGCGAGGAGUGCGGUUCUUUGUAAAGUGCCUUCGAAGAGUCGAGUUGUUUGGGAAUGCAGCUCUAAGUGGGUGGUAAAUUCCAUCUAAAGCUAAAUAUUGGCGAGAGACCGAUAGCGAACAAGUACAGUGAUGGAAAGAUGAAAAGAACUUUGAAAAGAGAGUGAAAAAGUACGUGAAAUUGUUGAAAGGGAAGGGCAUUUGAUCAGACAUGGUGUUUUGUGCCCUCUGCUCCUUGUGGGUAGGGGAAUCUCGCAUUUCACUGGGCCAGCAUCAGUUUUGGUGGCAGGAUAAAUCCAUAGGAAUGUAGCUUGCCUCGGUAAGUAUUAUAGCCUGUGGGAAUACUGCCAGCUGGGACUGAGGACUGCGACGUAAGUCAAGGAUGCUGGCAAAAUGGUUAUAUGCCGCCC